GGUGGUUGAAGCGUUGCAUCUUGUUUUUCAGAUUGCUACAAGAGUUGAUGAGACAGAUUGAUCAACUACAUGUGUUCUAUGUUCAUGCAGACUUGUUCAGUACGAAGUAUGAAUUCAUGAGGAUUAGCUCAAGUUAGAUUUGUCCAUCAAAGGGCUCAAACGAUCUUUUGUUGUUCAAUGUUGGCUUUGAUGGAACCCUCCAAUUCAAGAAAAACUAACAAGAAAAAAGUAUACUCCCUGUGAAAGAACGAGUAUCAUUGAAUAAUCCUUACCUAAGCCCUUCAAGGAUACGAAAGUUCUCAUUAAAAAUUCUUCAUAUUGAGAAAA